rnacentral:misc_RNA from 1 species
GAAAUGCGAUAAGUGAUGUGAAUUGCAGAAUUCCGUGAAUCAUCGAAUCUUUGAACGCACAUUGCGCCCUCUGGCAUUCCGGGGGGCAUGCCUGUCCGAGCGUCAUUACGCACCCUCAAGCCCGGCUUGUGUGAUGGGCCCUGGCGUCUCGUUCGCGAGACGGGCCCGAAAGGCAGCGGCGGCGUCGACCCGAUGAGCCCGAGCGUAUGGGGACUUUUGUCACACGUUUGCGGUGCGGACCGGCGCCUGCUUGACUUUUCUGAUUAUCCAGGUUGACCUCGGAUCAGGUAGGGAUACCCGCUGAACUUAAGC